AGCGGGGUGGGGUAGUCAGGUUAUCCCGCGGGGCUCAUAACCCCGAGAUCGGUGGUUCAAAUCCACCCCCCGCUACCA
rnacentral:tRNA from 1 species